UUUAUGGCCACCAGAGAUUUUGUGGAGGCCAUCAUCCUUGAAUGGCUCACAUCUAAACUGGUGACGACACGUGAUGUGAUCUCGUUUCAUAACCGUCACUUUCUUCACAAAAAACAAUGGACUUUUCUUAACUGCAAAUAAAAUUAAUAACUCUUUUUACAAUUUAUUUACGUCUAUUACAUGAGUGAGGAAUAAUGUUCUUCGAUCGUGGAGUUUUAAUUAGAGGUUAAACAUGCCCGGUAACAUUGUUUUUAUUUAUUUUUAUUCGUAUAAAAUUAAUAUUUAAUAAUAAUGAGCAUUAUUAGGAAUUUUAUGCGCAUACGGCAGGACAGACUGUUGAUCACAUUUCUGAGCAUGCUAAUCGUACUGGAAUUGCAAAGAGAAAACCAUCGGAAAUGAUGGAAACAAAUGCAAGAAAACGGGCAUGUGUAAAACCACUUUUGCAUUCUGUAAAUGUAAAAAGAAUUGAUGACCUUACACCAAAGGCCAAAAUAUUGUAUGGUCUUAAUUAAGUUUUUAUAAUUCUUAUGAUUAAAUAAAUGUAAAUUACACUUUAGUGUAUUGUUUACAGAAUUUUCUACCACUGAAUGGCCAAUUUUAUUUUUAGUUCAAAUAUUUAAUUAUUUUAUUAUGUUUGUGUGAUUUAAUGUCUUCAUAUUUGGUCAUAAAUUAUUUUAUGUGUUAUGUAUUAGUAUUUUCAUUUAGUUGAAAUUAUGUUUACGUAAUCCGCGGUGGGUUGUAUGAAUUUUGGUUUGAUUCUGUCCAGUCUUUCUUGCUAUCAAAACUCGCAAUGAGACGAAUAGACAGCGGGCCAAGUUUUGACAUCAAAUUUAAUUUAUAUUAAUUUAGUGAAUUUUUAUUAGCUAUUUUAGUGAUAAUGAAUUUAGUCACCCCAAGAGGCGGCUUAUCUGGAAGUAUAGUAAUAGCUACUUUUGUUACCAGAGGACGACAUGCAAUCCUUCUUUUGUCACGUGUGUUGAUGAAGGGAGAAUUUGCUUUGCCAUGUAAUUACAAGAAUUUAAAUUAAUUUAAUGGUACUAAAUUAGAGAAUAAUGGUGCUCAAAAUUUGCCAUACUACCCUAAAAUUCCGAGAUUCUGGAAUCUUAUAUUUCUAUCCUUAUUGGAGUUCUGUCGGUGAGGUCCUGUUUAAUCAGUAUUACUAUUGUGUGCACUGAAAUUUUACGGUACUCAUUAAUCCAAGCGAAGAAUGUCAAGGCACUACGAUCUUGUCAUUUAAAAUGUAAUUAUUCCUCGUUAUUUGAGUGGCUUACAUGUAGGUACUAUUAGGUAGAUUUCAAAGAAAUACUACCUAUUGUAGCCCUUACCAUGGUGCGACUUCAGGAAAAUUUUUAUACAGUUUUUUGUUGCAUGGUCCAUAGACCCCAAAACCACCGUCAACACAAAAGUUUGUGUGUGUCUGUGUGUGUAUAUACAGUAAGUCCUCUAUUUACGUCGUUUCGGAUUAACGUCGCUAAUGUUUGAGUACUCAUGUUUCAAUUUAAGUUGUCGCCGAUUCACAAUAACGUCGUUUACAAUGACCGUAAAUCUUUAUUUUAACCAAAACACCUUAUAUAAUUCGUUUACAAUUCUUUGUUUCCUUCAGUAGUUAAUUUAUGCUAUGUAGCGUAAGCUACACGUUCACCGCCUUAUCUUAUCAUACAUCAUGAGGGACGCUUCCUGCUCUCCGCGCGGUGAUGCAAUACAACCAGCCCGCCCGCUCGGCCACCCACGUAUCUUGCACGUAGAAGUGUUAUCUACUUCCCGCAACGACACAGCAUUUUCUCCUACCCCUUUUCGUCCCAACUCCUUGGCACUUCAGUAGAGGUGUAAAAGUAACUAAAAAAAGUGUACCCGUAUGUAUUCGUUACUAUAACAAUUAGUACUCGUUACUUUCGUAUCGUUACUCGUUACUUCUGAUACAGCAUAACAUGCUAUGUUAUGUAACAGCAAUGAAUCGAGUCGUAUUUCCUACGCGUACAGUAUGACGUCGCGUAAAUAAUAAUAAAUCGAAUAUAAACAAUUAAAAGUAUUUGAUAAUUAACAGCUUUUGUUAACCAAGAAACAAUAAAAUCUCAUUAGAGCAGCUUUAUUAUAAUAUCUCUUUUAAGAUCAGAACAAAAAACGUGAAAAUACACGAUAAUAAAAAACAAAAACAUACAUAUUUAUAAUUUGUAAAAAAUACUUUCUUACGUUGUUUCUGUUCCAAUCUCAAACUUUGUCUACACACACAAUACCGUUAAUAAACAGUAAAAAACUUGGACGACGAAUUUCCAAAUUAUACUUUUCUUAAUAAACAAACAUCGUUCUUUGUAAUGAAUAAGCGCGCGCAUGCGUAAAACAUACGAAAAAUGUGAGUAACGAAAUGCAUUCGUAUGUAACGUUUCGUUACUCGUUACUAGAUGCCGCACCCGUUACUCAGUAACAAAUACAUACGGUUUGCUACAGGACAGCUCUACACUUCAGUCGCUAUGAUAUCAUUGAGUUGGCCGGAGUUUUAAACGUGCCGUUGUUAACUUUAUCGUGAUUAAAUGCGUUUGUAGUAGGCCUACAGUAUCAGCUCACUGCAAUUUAUGAUUUUUUCUUCAUAAGAUGUCUUCCAAACGACUAUAUAUCUGUUUUUAUAUUUCAAUCAAUAAAGGUAAUAAAGCAGCUGGUUAAAUAACCAUUCUAUAAAGCAGAGAAGUACUAGUUGGACUUGUUUCCCACGCUGUCGGUUGUAAUUUGCUGAUAAAAUUGCCCGUUGUCACGUCUGUAUGCCAGCGCUUCCGGCCGACCUUGGGCCGUGGUCGGCCGGUGGCAUGAAACAUGGCUCAUUUUGCGUCGUUUCUAUUUACGUCGCGGUUUUCAGGAACGUAACCCCGACGUAAACCGAGGACUUACUGUAUAUAUAUUUUUUUUCACUUUCUUGUGGACACAAUAACUGUUGUAAUUUUUCUCAAAUCAAUUCCAAACUGAUUCAUAAAUUAUAAAUGUGAAAAAACUUGGUCGUGUUCGUUAAUAGGCAAUAUCCGACCAAAGGGGUAGAAAUGGGGAAAGUUUUUCAAAAAACAAAUAAAUGGUUCUAACUCCUGUAAUAUUGAAAAUAUUACAUCCGUUUGAAUGUAUUAAAACUCGUAGGAGUAAUAACAAAAUAUUUUGUCUAAAUAUGUUUUUUAUUUGACCAACCAUAACUGCAAGGGGUUGAAAACAAGGGUUGGCUGACAAAAAAAAAUCAUAACCCCGUUUGUAGGCAUAACAUUGAAUUUGUACAAAUGAUGUAUUUUUCGUAUAUUUUUUAUCUAAAACUUUAGUCUCAAACAAUUUUUGAUAAGACGAACCAUUGUUGCAAAGCGUUGAAAAAAUUAAUGGGUAGAAUUAAAAAUAAUAAUAAUAAUUAUUAUAACUCCCUUAGAGUGGCAUACUUUCAAGUUCGUUCAAACUGUUUAUAAAUCUUAAAAUGUUUACAUAAAACUUUUGUCUGAAACUAUUUUCUUUAUAAUACAAACCAUUAUUUCAAGGGAUGAAAAUAACAAGGGUAGAAAAACAAAAUUCCAUUACUCUUUUUAAUACGGUUACUUUCAGUACCUAUUUGAAGAUCAAAAAUAAUUGCAUGACUACCUUAGUAGGCAUAUUAUGACAUUCUUUAAGACAUGCUUUCUUGGAUGCAUUAAGUUAUAAACAUUCAAAAUAUUUUCUUUGCAUAGAAUAUGUGAAAAAGUCAAAUCAAUUUUUUUUUAAUAUUGCCGAACAGAUAGGUUUUUAUGUCAGCUACAUUAAGUUCUUAAAAUUUUCAAGGAGUUUAUAGUAGGCCUAGUUGAAAUAAUAUUUCCAGAAGGGAUAGUUUAUUUCAAAUCUACCUACACCUGUUCCGGAGGCUAUCAAUUCUUUUCAGUGUCCAAACAUUUUUGUACAAUGUGAUGCAACAAUUUUUUUCUGUGUAUUCAAUGAUUUAGAUUUAAAUCAAUUGAAAUGUGGCUUGCUAUGUUUUUUUUGUAUGGAAGGGUUUUAUGUUUAAUCUUGUUUAAUUUUGCUUGUUGCACUCAACAGUUAUGAUUUUCAUGUUUGUCAAUUGUGUAAAGAAAAGCAUUGUAUUUAUUUAUUAUUUUAUCUGUUAUUAAUAAUAAUUUACCCUGAUGUCAAUAUAUAGCUGCAUGUAGACUUAUACAUUGUAUAUGGUUAAUUAGGCAUAUUUGCUAUGUUAUCAAACUCUCCUAUUGCUUAAUGUUUGAACCUGUUUUAUUCUUCAGAUAUAUUCACUUAAGUGUUCCUUGCAGAUGCAAGUUGCAAUACCUAUUCCUAUCAUGAUUAAUUUUUUUUCCUUGAAAAAUUCAAUAGUUUUGUAUUAAAGGGAAGUUAAUAAUAAAGUAAUCCAAUUAUUGUAUGAAA